UUUGACAAUCAUGAAACACGAGAUUCAUGGAGAAAGACGGAUAAACCGGCAGCCAUGAGAGACAUUCGGGGCAUCUGGGUAGAGCAGCUGCCUUGUUUGAACAACCCCAGCCAUGACAUACCUGAGGAUGACCAGAUCCUGUCACCCAAGCUGAUCCCGACCUCCAUCUCGGUGUGCUAGAGGGUCCUCCUUCCCCUGCAUCAUCACGAAUAUUGCUGUCUAUUCCGGCAGUACAUGCAUAAAGGAUCCAGAAAGUAUUAAAUUAUGGCUGGGUCUCAGCACACAAUCCAGUUACGCCUGGAAAGUCCAAGUGCACACUGGUAAACCGGCUGACUGA